rnacentral:lncRNA from 1 species
UUUGCCAUUCCACUUUUCAGCAUCUUCAGGUGCACUGUAAUACCCAGCCUUGGAGGAGAGGCUUGAGCUGAAGGGAUGUUUGCUGCCCAGAUUACUCAGCUUGAAAGCAGCCAUCUGUGACCAAGGGAGUAAAAACAUGAAAACUGCAGCUCAACUGGAAGCAAAUCCUUGUUCUCAUUAAUUACUCAAAACAAAGCAGGAGUGUUAGUGCACUAUCUGCUGGAACACAUGCCAUGCUCUCAUGUUAUGGGAGUUAACUACAAAGUUAGCUUAACUGUUAAAAGAGUUGUGAUUUUUUUCACGGCAGCACCAUGAACACACAUGAGUUAUCAUGAAGUGAAAAACAGACACUCAGCAGCAGACCCUGAAGUCAGCAGUUCUGGACAGACAUCUGAGCUGAUCUCAGCAAAAUCAUAAUUGUCAUCUUCUGACUGUUUCCACCUCCUGAAAACAAAUUAAUGUUAACCCUCCAGAAGAUUCAAAAACUAAAAGUUUUUUUUUUUUAAAAUUAAACCCUAUUUUUAGAAAUUAAGAUGUCUUAAAUAUCUUCUUUAAAUUUCUCAAACAUUUGUAAUUCACCUAUUGACCUAAAUGUAGAUUCAGUUAUUUAUGCUGGAUUUAUUGUGCAUUAUGGUCUGGCCACUUGCUAACUCUCAGAGGCUGCAUAAACUUUGGGGACAGAGUGAACUUCCUCUGUGCCAAAUAGGAAAAAUUUAAAGCUAUUUAUCUGAUAUGACAGUAUUGAUAAUAGUGCAGAGAAGCACUUUGGACUUCUCCUAAAGGGUAGGAUUAUCUUCAUUAUCUUCUGUUUGCAUUUGUUUUUGCUCCAUGGAAGAGAGAUUAGGAGACAGUCAUCUUAGCUCUGUGUUUAGCAAGAAUAUAGGAGAUGAUAACUGCAAGGACACAUUAUUUACUUGAUCAAUAAAAGUGAUUUUGGAAUGCAGUCUAACUUGCUUCCUGAAUAAUUGCAUUAGACUUCAGUUCCCAAAUGCUGCCUAAAUUUCAACUCCCAAAAUAGAGAUGUUUAAAUUACUUGCCUCCUACAGCUGGUUAGUAAUAGGGACAGAAAUUUGUAGGCACCAUCCAGAUCUUCCUUUGUAAAAUAACUUUCCUUCUUUCACUAAAAAUCUUCAAUAGUCUAAAUAAAAAUCCCAGUGUAAUCACCUCUGUCUUGCAGAAGGUGAGGCACAGGAGGAGCAGAAGGAUGAAGGAGAUCACACAGAUUGUGCAAGGUACAACUAUUUUUUCCCAAAAUGAAAAGUGCUUGCUAAAAACGAUUCCUCUAGUAAGGCAGUCUGUCACCCCAAGAAGGGAACCACCAGUAACCAUAUUUUUAUGUUGCUCAGAGCCUGAAAUUGCUUUCCAAAGACAUCAGGUAAUGUCAGCUUUGCCUACUUCUGAUCUUGUUUUGAACAUUCCUCUGUAUUUCGCUCACAGACAAAUGUUUGAAGCUUGGACAUUUUUAUGGGAUAGCUCUAGAGGAGCUGGAAAAAAAUCCCAAAUGACUUAAAAAUAUUUCCAUACUUGAAAGAACAAAACAAAACAAAAAAAAAAAAAAAAAA